rnacentral:lncRNA from 1 species
CGUUUUGUUUCAAAUCCGCCCACAAGUCCGGCCUCGACGUGGGUCUUUUCCUUGGCGCGAUCACGAGGUCACCGGAUUUGUACGGCGGCCAGAUUCUGAAGAGGGAUUUUGAGCCGGGAUUCUAUGUGAACCGCUUCGUGAAGGAUUUGGGCAUUUGCUUAAAGGAGUGCCAGAAGGUGGGACUUGCUCUGCCCGGAUUAGCCCUGGCUCAGCGGCUGUAUCUGUCGCUGAAGGCUCGCGGCGAGGGCAAUUUGGAUUUCAGGCGCUUAUCGUGGCGGUGGAGCGGCUGAAUAAUGUGUCACUUGAAUUUGCUCCUGCAAAAUAAUGACUCUGCAAAUGCAUAUAGUAUGAAAUGUUGACGUGGAUUAAAAAAUUAAUAUAUGAUGUUGACGUGAGCUCAAACACCUAAAAAAUUAAUAUAAAAUGUUGUUGAGGUCAUGACUGCAAUUGCAUAUAGUAUGAAAUGUUUCUUCGAUUUUGUGUCGAAAUUUGGUUUUUUAUUUCUUGCUCAGUUGCUCUAAUGCUUAUAGUAUGAAAUGGUUCUCUCAUAACAAAUUAAGCAAUUGUGUGUCUUUAGAUAUAUGCUUGGUAAUUAUGCAAACGUGGGUUAGACUGUUGGGAAAAUAGUUAAUUAUUUUUAUUGUUU